AAGUCUUAUGAUAUUAUUUAAACAUUAUUUUUCUUACGAGUAUAUGAAACUCACCCCUUCCUAUGCUCCCCUUCCAGAUGAGGAAGAUAGUGAGGAACUGAUCACUAACUUGCUCCUAGAAGCCUUUGAGGAUCCCGUGGAUCCAUGAUCUUUUAUGAGUGCAUAAUUGUCUCGCACUCUGAUGAGUCCAUCUUUUGUAGAGGCUUAUAA
rnacentral:lncRNA from 1 species